AUGGCUCAGGACGAACGCUGGCGGCGUGCUUAACACAUGCAAGUCGAACGAUGAAGCCCUUCGGGGUGGAUUAGUGGCGAACGGGUGAGUAACACGUGGGCAAUCUGCCCUUCACUCUGGGACAAGCCCUGGAAACGGGGUCUAAUACCGGAUAACACUCUGUCCCGCAUGGGACGGGGUUGAAAGCUCCGGCGGUGAAGGAUGAGCCCGCGGCCUAUCAGCUUGUUGGUGGGGUAAUGGCCUACCAAGGCGACGACGGGUAGCCGGCCUGAGAGGGCGACCGGCCACACUGGGACUGAGACACGGCCCAGACUCCUACGGGAGGCAGCAGUGGGGAAUAUUGCACAAUGGGCGAAAGCCUGAUGCAGCGACGCCGCGUGAGGGAUGACGGCCUUCGGGUUGUAAACCUCUUUCAGCAG
rnacentral:rRNA from 1 species